GUAUUGUUGUUAAUGCAGGAGGACGUAAAUUCAAGUGCGGUCAAGUGCAUUAUCCUCCUAUUUAUGGGUAAGGGAGAGACUAUGCGUAGUUCUAAGCAUCGUGUCAAAAAGAGUUGAUAUAAUAAAAACCUAACAAUAGCUUAAAAUGGUAGUUAACACUUCGUUGGCUAAGGAGCAAAAGUAAGAAUCUGCCUAAGGAGGGGCUCAUGUCUAAUUAGCUAGUUGGUGAGACAAUAGUUUACCAAGGCGAUGAUCAGUAGCUACUCUGAGAGGAUGAUCAGCCACACUAGGACUCAGCCAUGGUUUAUACAAAUGAUGUAAGCGUUAUCCGAAAUGAUUGGGCUUAAAGCAUCCGUAGGUGGCUUUUUAAGUCUGUCGUCAAAUCCCAAUGCUUAACCCUGGUUAGGCGGUGGAAACUACCAAGCUCGAGUACAAUAAAGGUAGAGGAAAUUUCCGAUGGAGCGUCAAAAUGCAUAGAGAUAAAAAAGAACACCAAUGACGAAUUACGAGUGAAAGAGAAAAUCUAAAGAUUUCCAUUAUAGCAGCC
rnacentral:ncRNA from 1 species